GCCCGUGUAGCUCAGUGGUAGAGCAUUGUACUUAUGAGGUUAUCUGACUACUUACAUUGAUAUGCAAGGGUCCCGAGUUCAAUCCUCGGCAUGGGCA